AACGAACGUUAGCGGCGCGCUUAACACAUGCAAGUCGUGCGAGAAAGGGAGCAAUCCCCGGUAAAGCGGCGCACGGGUGAGUAACACGUAGGUAACGUGCCCCUAGGUGGUGGAUAACCUUCCGAAAGGAGGGCUAAUACAGCAUAAGACCACGGCUUCGAAAGGAGCUGAGGUCAAAGUCGGCCUCUAUUCAUAAGCUGACGCCAAGGGAUCGGCCUGCGGCCCAUCAGGUAGUUGGUAGGGUAAUGGCCUACCAAGCCUAAGACGGGUAGCUGGUCUGAGAGGAUGAUCAGCCACACUGGAACUGAGACACGGUCCAGACUCCUACGGGAGGCAGCAGUGGGGAAUCUUAGACAAUGGGCGCAAGCCUGAUCUAGCCAUGCCGCGUGAGCGAUGAAGGCCUUAGGGUUGUAAAGCUCUUUCAGUGGGGAAGAUAAUGACUGUACCCACAGAAGAAGCCCCGGCUAACUCCGUGCCAGCAGCCGCGGUAAAGUGUGAC
rnacentral:rRNA from 1 species